GAGUUUGAUCCUGGCUCAGGAUGAACGCUAGCUACAGGCCUAACACAUGCAAGUCGAGGGGCAGCGGGAAGGAAGCUUGCUUUCUUCGCCGGCGACCGGCGCACGGGUGCGUAACGCGUAUCGAACCUACCCUUUACUCGGGAACAGCCUUGCGAAAGCAAAGAUUAAUGCCCGAUGUUCCGCGUUUGCUGCAUGGCAAAUUCGGCAAAGAUUUAUUGGUAAAGGAUGGCGAUGCGUCCCAUUAGUUAGUUGGCGGGUAACGGCCCACCAAGACGACGAUUGGUAGCCGGACUGAGAGGUUGAACGGCCACAUUGGG
rnacentral:rRNA from 1 species